rnacentral:rRNA from 1 species
GGCGGACGGGUGAGUAAUGCAUAGGAAUCUGCCCUUUAGUGGGGGAUAACCCGGGGAAACCCGGGCUAAUACCGCAUAAGUCCUACGGGAGAAAGCGGGGGAUCUUCGGGCCUCGCGCUGAAGGAUGAGCCUAUGUCUGAUUAGCUUGUUGGUGGGGUAAAAGCCUACCAAGGCGACGAUCAGUAGCUGGUCUGAGAGGACGGACAGCCACACUGGGACUGAGACACGGCCCAGACUCCUACGGGAGGCAGCAGUGGGGAAUAUUGGACAAUGGGCGCAAGCCUGAUCCAGCAAUGCCGCGUGUGUGAAGAAGGCCUGCGGGUCGUAAAGCACUUUCAGCGAGGAAGAAAAUCUAUGGGUUAAUACCCCGUAGCCUUGACGUUACUCGCACGAGAAUGCACCGGCUAACUUCGUGCCAGCAGCCGCGGUAAUACGGGGGGUGCAAGCGUUAAUCGGAAUUACUGGGCGUAAAGCGCACGUAGGCGGCUCGCUAAGUUGGAUGUGA